rnacentral:lncRNA from 1 species
UCAAAAAAAUAAAAUUUCUUACCUCAUCCUCGUCCCCUUCUCUGGUCCUUCACAGGCGGCGACCCAUCUCGUUCGCCGGCGGUGACCCAUCUCCUUUGCCGCCGCCGGGAAAUAAGCUGCACCGUGAGUCCUCCGUUCUGCACCUCCUCUGCCCGGCCCUCGUUAUUCUCCUACGCUCCUAUGUAUGGUUGUACUCAAGGCCUUGCCAUAUUCUUUAUUUCAGAUCUGAGCUUAUUUCCUCCUCCACGCUAGACCUCUCCCGCCAUGUAGCAGCUGCCUUCUCCUAGUGCAGAUCACUAGACCGCAGCCCUGCCUGCAGGUGUGCUAUUUUCUUCCCCAUAAGAAACGAUUAAAUAUCUUAUGAGUACCUUGUCCAAAUAAUUUGCUAAAAAAACUUCAGUGAAUUUUAUUCUCUGUGUUCCCUAUGAGUUUAGGUUAAAACUGUUAAAACUACUAAGCUGCAUCUUAUUCUUUUGCAAAAUAAGUUUGUGUAACUAAACUAUUUUGUCUUUUUAAGUGUCUUUGUUUCCUUUUUUCCUUUCAGUGGCAGUAAGUUGACAUAAAGACAUGGACCUUCACAAGGAAGUCACUGCUGCUAGGUUAACCGAUGAUCUAG